CGCCUACACGAAGUCGGAAUCGCUAGUAAUCGCGGAUCAGCACGCCGCGGUGAAUACGUUCCCGGGCCUUGUACACACCGCCCGUCACACCAUGAGAGUUUGUAACACCCGAAGCCGGUGGCGUAACCCUUUUAGGGAGCGAGCCGUCUAAGGUGGGACAAAUGAUUAGGGUGAAGUCGUAACAAGGUAGCCGUAGGAGAACCUGCGGCUGGAUCACCUCCUUUCUAAGGAA
rnacentral:rRNA from 1 species